AGAGGCUGUCUGGUUCCUGUGUGUGUCUGAGAUAGCAUGGAUGAGUGUUUGGGGCCUACUUAUGACUAAGCCCCCAGACACAUCUCAGCCAAGUAUCAGUUUCAAGGAGAACACUCAAAAGGGAGUAAAGCUGAGACACUGAAUUGUUGUGAGAACUGAAUUGGAGGAAUCAAGUCACAGAUGAGCUUUUACCUCAAGAAUUUUCGUCAUUGCUGCCCUUGGAACUGCAAACCACCAGGGAACACACCAUAUAAAGAAGCAUGUUUAUAAAGAAUGAAUUUGCCACUAGAACGUGAACAUAAAAAAUGAAUGUGCAGUCCUAAGCAAUUUUAAUCUCAUAACCAAGGGAAUAAAAUCACCUAAUAUCUUUAUCUAAAAUGUAACAGCAGGUAUGUAUAAGAAGAAAACCAACAUGAAAAACAGUGAAAAAAGACAAAAAAAAAAAGAAA